AAAUAAUACAAUUAAAUUAGUUUAGUUUUAAUAAAUUGAUAAAAUUAAAAUUUUUAGAUUAAGUUUAUUAAGUGAAAUUUUAAACUUAACAAAGAUUUAGUUUUGUUAAUGAUUUAGGAAAUUUUAUUAAAAACUAGGAUUAGAUACCCUAUUAUAAAAAUGUAAAUUUAAGGACUAAAUUAGUAGUAGUUAUGAUCUUUAAAAUUAAAGAUUUUGGCGGUAUUUUAGUCUAUUCAGAGGAACCUGUUCUGUAAUUGAUAGUCCACGAUUUAAUUUACUUAUUUUAUAUUAAUUUACAUAUCGUCGUAGUUAGAAUAUUUUAUAAGAAUUAUAAUAUUCAAGAUUUAAUAUAAUAAAAAAAAUCAGAUCAAGGUGUAGUUUAUAAAUAAGAAGAAAUGGGUUACUAUAAUUUAAUUUGCAAUAAUUAUUUUUAAAAUAGUUUGAAUAAGGAUUUGAAAGUAAUUUUAAUUAAUUUAUUAAAGUGAUUUUAGCUCUAAAAU
rnacentral:rRNA from 1 species